UGGGGAAUAUUGCACAAUGGGCGGAAGCCUGAUGCAGCGACGCCGUGUGAGGGAUGACGGCCUUCGGGUUGUAAACCUCUUUCAGUAGGGACGAAGCGUAAGUGACGGUACCUGCAGAAGAAGCACCGGCUAACUACGUGCCAGCAGCCGCGGUAAUACGUAGGGUGCGAGCGUUGUCCGGAAUUACUGGGCGUAAAGAGCUCGUAGGCGGUUUGUCACGUCGUCUGUGAAAUCCUAGGGCUUAACCCUGGACGUGCAGGCGAUACGGGCUGACUUGAGUACUACAGGGGAGACUGGAAUUUCUGGUGUAGCGGUGGAAUGCACAGAUAUCAGGAAGAACACCGAUGGCGAAGGCAGGUCUCUGGGUAGUAACUGACGCUGAGGAGCGAAAGCAUGGGUAGCGAACAGG
rnacentral:rRNA from 1 species